rnacentral:rRNA from 1 species
CCCGAAAUCUGGGGGAUAGCCCGCCGAAAGGCGGAUUAAUACCGCAUAAGGCCAGCGAACGGCAUCGUUUGCUGGUUAAAAGAUUUAUUGGAUUCGGAUGGGGUUGCGUGCCAUUAGCUAGUUGGGGGGUAACGGCCCACCAAGGCGACGAUGGCUAGGGGAGCUGAGAGGCUGGUCCCCCACACGGGCACUGAGAUACGGGCCCG